rnacentral:rRNA from 1 species
GAUGAACGCUGGCGGCGUGCCUAAUACAUGCAAGUCGAGCGAACGGACGGGAAGCUUGCUUCUCUGAUGUUAGCGGCGGACGGGUGAGUAACACGUGGAUAACCUACCUUUAAGACUGGGAUAACUUCGGGAAACCGGAGCUAAUACCGGAUAAUAUUUUGAACCGCAUGGUUCAAAAGUGAAAGACGGUCUUGCUGUCACUUAUAGAUGGAUCCGCGCUGCAUUAGCUAGUUGGUAAGGUAACGGCUUACCAAGGCAACGAUGCAUAGCCGACCUGAGAGGGUGAUCGGCCACACUGGAACUGAGACACGGUCCAGACUCCUACGGGAGGCGGCAGUAGGGAAUCUUCCGCAAUGGGCGAAAGCCUGACGGAGCAACGCCGCGUGAGUGAUGAAGGUCUUCGGAUCGUAAAACUCUGUUAUUAGGGAAGAACAUAUGUGUAAGUAACUGUGCACAUCUUGACGGUACCUAAUCAGAAAGCCACGGCUAACUACGUG